UUAUAUCAUAAUUUAUGAUUCAAGUAAACAGUUCCAGGUAUAUUAUUUUGUCAAUGUAGAUGAGAACGGUGAAACCACACAUUUGACUGCAAUCAUGGCAAGAGGCAAUGAUGUCAGUGCCCAAGAAUAUAAGAAGUUUGAAGAGGUGGCCAUCAAAAUGGGUAUUCCAAAAGAAAACAUCUUAAAAGUCAUCGAUACAGACAUCUGCCCUAGGAUCAUUGAUUAAAUCUACAACUUGUUGGUGUACACUUUCCCAAACUAACCAGCAUGUGAUGUCUGCAAGCCACCUAUUCCCCACAAACCAGCUCUCCCCAACUUUGUCUUUGUGGGUUAAUGGUAAAUGCCAAAAGCUCACCUCAGAGGCAGUGAGACCAGAAGAAGAUCCAACAUACAAAAUUACCUUCAGUGGGGAAAAUUCUGUGGAAUUGGUUCAUAUUAGGAUAUCAUAUCUAACCGUGAUACACGUUUUACCAAUGUGGAUGACAGUGGCAAAACCACGCAUUUGACUGCAAUCACAGACAGAGGAAGGUAUGUUGAUGAAGAACUCACUGAGAAGUUCAAAGACUUGAUGAAGAAAGAAGGGAUUCUAGAAAAAAAUGUUGUAAAUCUCAGUGAUACAGAUUACAGGAGCCUGGUGCACCGUUUACAUGGGAUCCAAUAACAUAAGCAAAAUAGGCUACAAUGGCCCACUUGGAGUUUAUCUCUGUUGGGUGGAAUGCUAUAAUGAAG